GACGAACGCUGGCGGCGUGCUUAACACAUGCAAGUCGAACGGAAAGGCCCUGCUUUUGUGGGGUGCUCGAGUGGCGAACGGGUGAGUAACACGUGAGUAACCUGCCCUUGACUUUGGGAUAACUUCAGGAAACUGGGGCUACUACCGGAUAGCAGCUCCUGCUGCAUGGUGGGGGUUGGAAAGUUUCGGCGGUUGGGGAUGGACUCGCGGCUUAUCAGCUUGUUGGUUGGGUAGUGGCUUACCAAGGCUUUGACGGGUAGCCGGCCUGGGAGGGUGACCGGCGACAUGGGGACUGAGAGACGGACCAGACUGCUACGGGAGGCAGCAGUGGGGAAUAUGGCACAAUGGGCGGAAGCCUGAGGCAGCAACGCCGCGUGCGGGAUGACGGCCUUCGGGUUGUAAACCGCUGUCGCCUGUGACGAAGCGUGAGUGACGGUAAUGGGUAAAGAAGCACCGGCUAACUACGUG
rnacentral:rRNA from 1 species